CCUACGGGAGGCAGCAGUGGGGAAUCUUGCACAAUGGGGGGAACCCUGAUGCAGCAACGCCGCGUGGGUGAAGAAGUACUUCGGUAUGUAAAGCCCUGUCAGCAGGGAAGAAAAUGACGGUACCUGACCAAGAAGCACCCGAUAACUACGUGCCAGCAGCCGCGGUAAGACGUAGGGGGAAAGCGUUCUCCGGAUUUACUGGGGGUAAAGGGAGCGUAGACGGCAAGGCAAGUCUGGAGUGAAAGCCCGUGGCUCAACCACGGGACUGCUUUGGAAACUGUGUUGCUGGAGUGCAGGAGGGGAAAGCGGAAUUCCUAGUGUAGCGGUGAAAUGCGUAGAUAUUAGGAGGAACACCGGUGGCGAAGGCGGCUUACUGGACUGUAACUGACGUUGAGGCUCGAAGGCGUGGGGAGCAAACAGGAUUAGAUACCCCUGUAGUC
rnacentral:rRNA from 1 species